GAUGAACGCUGGCGGCGUGCCUAAUACAUGCAAGUCGAGCGAACGGACGAGAAGCUUGCUUCUCUGAUGUUAGCGGCGGACGGGUGAGUAACACGUGGAUAACCUACCUAUAAGACUGGGAUAACCUCGGGAAACCGGAGCUAAUACCGGAUAAUAUUUUGAACCGCAUGGUUCAAAAGUGAAAGACGGUCUUGCUGUCACUUAUAGAUGGAUCCGCGCUGCAUUAGCUAGUUGGUAAGGUAACGGCUUACCAAGGCAACGAUGCAUAGCCGACCUGAGAGGGUGAUCGGCCACACUGGAACUGAGACACGGUCCAGACUCCUACGGGAGGCAGCAGUAGGGAAUCUUCCGCAAUGGGCGAAAGCCUGACGGAGCAACGCCGCGUGAGUGAUGAAGGCCUUCGGAUCGUAAAACUCUAUUAUUAGGGAAGAACAUAUGUGUAAGUAACUGUGCACAUCUUGACGGUACCUAAUCAGAAAGCCACGGCUAACUACGUG
rnacentral:rRNA from 1 species